ACCGAGGCUGGAGUAGAGUGGUGUGAUCACAGCUCACUGCAGCCUCGACCUCCCAGGCUCAGCAUCCUGAGUAGCUAGGACUACAGGCCCGCACCACCACGCCCAGCUAGUUUUAAAAAUUUUUGUAGAGAUGAGGUCUUGCUAUGUUAUCCAGGCUGUUCUUUUUUUUUUUUUUUUUUUUUUGAGACGGAGUCUCACUCUGUUGCCCAGACUGGAGUGCAGUGGUGUGAUCUCGGCUCACUGCAACCUCCACCUCCCAGGUUCAAGCGAUUCUCCUGCUUUAGCCUCCUGAGUAGCUGGGACUACAGCUGCAUGCCACCACGUCCAGCUAAUUUUUGUAUUUUUAGUAGAGACGGGGUUUCACCACAUUGGCCAGGAUGGUCUCGAUCUCUUGACCUUGUGGUCCA
rnacentral:lncRNA from 10 species